GAUACCAUAUUAAUUUCACGCAGCAAAAACUCAAAAGUUAGCCAUUCCAACAGAGUAAGAAACAUAGUAACAAGAAAUAACAGUACAAGGCUGUUAAAAUGCUAUUGUAAUUGGAAUGAAAGAAAUUUAAACAUUUUUUAAAGGAUCAAUUCGAGGGCAAGUCUGGUACCAGCAGCCGCGGUAAUUCCAGCUUCAAUAGCGUAUAUUAAAAUUGUUGCAGUUAAAAAGCUCGUAGUUGAAAUUUUGCUAGAAAUAACCAAUAUGUUUUUGAUCAAUAAACUUUCAGCGCAUUUUAAUUGCCUUACCCCGGCAAUGAUGGUUUAUGGACGUCUAUUGACUUUUUUGGAAGGGGGAACCUGCGGAACUUUUUGCUUUACCUAAAUGUAGAGGGUGUCAAGCAAGCUAACUUUCCGAAUAUCACAGCCUAAAAUAAUGAAAUAGAAUUUUGAUUUUACAUUAUUGGUUUUAAGAACAAAAUAAUGAUGAU
rnacentral:rRNA from 1 species